ACGCUCGACACCUACGGGAUGCAGCAGUGAGGAAUAUUGGUCAAUGGACGCAAGUCUGAACCAGCCAUGCCGCGUGCAGGAUGACGGCUCUAUGAGUUGUAAACUGCUUUUGUACGAGGGUAAACGCAGAUACGUGUAUCUGUCUGAAAGUAUCGUACGAAUAAGGAUCGGCUAACUCCGUGCUAGCAGCCGCGGUAAUCUGAGCGGGCUGGCAAGGC
rnacentral:rRNA from 1 species